CCCUUAGAUGUUCUGGGCUGCACGCGCGCUACACUGAAGCUAUCAACACAUUUUCCCUCCCUGAGAAGGGCGGGUAACCUUUUGAAUCAGCUUCGUGGUAGGGAUCGGGGCUUGCAAUUGUUCCCCGUGAACCAGGAAUUCCUAGUAGACGCGAGUCAUAAGCUCGCAUCGAUUAAGUCCCUGCCCUUUGUACACACCGCCCGCCGCUACUACCGAUUGAACGUUUUAGUGAGGCAUUUGGACCGACGCAUCUCAGUUUAACCGCUGGUUUGUGUUGGAAAGACUUCCAAACUUGAGCGUUUAGAGGAAGUAAAAGUCGUAACA
rnacentral:rRNA from 1 species